rnacentral:rRNA from 1 species
UACGGGGGGGCAAGCGUUGUUCGGAAUUACUGGGCGUAAAGAGCUCGUAGGCGGUUCAGUAAGUCAGGUGUGAAAUCUUUGGGCUUAACCCAAAGCGUGCACUUGAUACUGCUGUGACUUGAGUUCGGUAGGGGAGUGGGGAAUUCCUAGUGUAGCGGUGAAAUGCGCAGAUAUUAGGAGGAACACCGGUGGCGAAGGCGCCACUCUGGGCCGAAACUGACGCUGAGGAGCGAAAGCGUGGGUAGCAAAC